CGGGCCCUUCGGGGUCAGCGGCGGACGGGUGAGUAACGCGUGGGAACGUGCCUUCUGGUUCGGAAUAACCCUGGGAAACUAGGGCUAAUACCGGAUACGCCCUUUUGGGGAAAGGUUUACUGCCGGAAGAUCGGCCCGCGUCUGAUUAGCUAGUUGGUGGGGUAACGGCCUACCAAGGCGACGAUCAGUAGCUGGUCUGAGAGGAUGAUCAGCCACACUGGGACUGAGACACGGCCCAGACUCCUACGGGAGGCAGCAGUAGGGAAUAUUGGACAAUGGGCGCAAGCCUGAUCCAGCCAUGCCGCGUGAGUGAUGAAGGCCUUAGGGUUGUAAAGCUCUUUUAUCCGGGACGAUAAUGACGGUACCGGAGGAAUAAGCCCCGGCUAACUUCGUG
rnacentral:rRNA from 1 species